rnacentral:lncRNA from 1 species
GCCACCAUGCCCGGCUAAAUUAUCUACAUAUUUUCUAUGACUGUAUCUUGCUUUUAAAGCACAUGUACUGUCUGUCCAGAUUACCUCUGCUGCCUUGAAUACAAAGCAUUUCAUAUUGCUGUCACUCCUGCGUAGUGCAAACACUUUCCAAUGAAGUAGACAGAACUUCAGAAAAUACCCUAAGGAGCCAUGUUAAAAACGACCAAGACUUGUUCAACUAGCAACAAAGAUGGCCCCUAACGCUGCAAUAAGUUUAAACUUUGAUCCUUAGUUCUAAGUGAAUCAAUCCCAAUUAAAAUGCAGGACUUCAUCUACUGUAUUUUAUUAACAUAGUUGAGUAUCUUAAUCCUAGCUGUGAACUAAAUAUUCAGCACCCCAAGGCUGAAUAUGGUAUUCAGUUUAAAACACCUACUCCACAACAGAAGUCUCCUUGCUUUCACAUUGGCUUCCACCAAAUUGUAAAAUUAAAUGACAAGCAUAAAGUUAUACAACUCAGCAUAGAUAACUAUCCAAGUGAUAUGCAGUAUCAUUCAGGAAUUUAGGCUCCUUUGUGGGACAUUUUAUCAUCUUUUAAAGCAAGUUAAGUUUAGAGGCAAUAAAGACAAAAUGCCGGGGUUUAAACCCUACUGCUGCCUUUUUUUAAGACAGGGUCUCACUCUGUCUCCCAGGCUGGAGUGCACUGGCUCCAUGACAGCUCAUUGCAGCCUUGACCUCCUGGGCUCAGUUGGUCCUCCCACCUCAGCCUCACCAGUAGCUCGGACUACAGGCACCCACCAACACACCCGGCUAAUAUUUUUGCAGAGAUCAGGUUUUACUAUGUCGCCCAGGCUAGUCUUCCAACUCCUGGGCUCAAGCUGCCCACCUCAGCCUCCCAAAGUGCUGGAAUUCCAAACAUGAACCACUCCACCUGGCCCCCUGCCUCUUACUAAUUGUGUAACAUUAAGAAAAAAUAUUAAAGUCCAAGAUUGUUUUCCCAUCUGUAAAAAGAGCAUACCUCAGAUAUUUGCAGAGGGUUAAAACUAGUUAACACACUUAAAGGACACAGAAUAGUCUGACACACAUCCUAAAUGAUUGAUAGAAGUUACUAUUUUGAAGGGGUAAAGCACUAUAAGCACUAUCUAAACAUAAUUUAAUAAAGCAAACUUUUUAUUUACUCAAUGGCUUAAUUUUUUAAAACUGCAUAGGCUUUAUAAACUUUCCAACAUUAAAAGGAAAAGGCCACAAUGAGUUUUAUAUAAACAUAUUCUAAUAUUUUCAAUGCUGCCAACUUGAAAUAACCCAGAAAUUUUUAAAUAGUCCAUGUAAAAAAAUAUAUAAACUAAAAAUUAGGUGGUAUUUCAACUAAGACCCUUUAAAUGUAGCUUCCAAAAUCACCUUGAUGACUUGGUCUACCCUACAUUUAUGCCAGUAAUUUUAGUAAAGAAUAAUUUAAAACAUAAAAGGAAAUAUACAUGGAGCAAUCCUGGCUGGUGGAAAAUGUUCCGAUUUAAUAAUCCUGGCUUUUCCCCAUCAAUAAACUUAUUCUCUGGACUAUUUAGGUCACUAGGUUUUUAACAUUCCCAGUCAAUAUUAACUAUUUUAUUCCAAGAUACCUCCCCUAAUAAGUCUUUAUUGUCAAACACCUUAUUCAAGGUAAAAAGUUAGCCAUUAUACUCACUCCCAAUUUUGGAAUAGUAUUCUUUUUCUAUGUUCUAUAACUUCGUAUUAUUUUUACUUUUUUAGAGACGAGAUCUUGCUCUGUUACCCAGGCUAGUCACAGAACUCCUGGACAUAGCGAUCAGCCUCCCAAAGUGCUAGGAUUACAGGCAUGAGCCACCACACCCAGCCAAUCCUUUAACUUUUAAACACUUCCUAACAACUUAUGAUCUUACAUACAUGGCUUUAUAACAAGUUCUGACAGUUUAAAAAAUACAACAGAAUGUCAACCUGAUAUACAUUUCAGGUAUAAAACAUAAAUGACCAAUCACUGUCAUCUUUUAAAGUAAUGUUACUCAAGCACACCAUUAAAUCCUUACUGAAUUUUUCCAGUAUUUUAUCCAUCAUAAUUAUUCUUCUAAAAUCCUAAAAUGACAAACUAAAGCUAAGUCACUAGUUACCUAAGGGGAAGGGAGGAGGUUACAAUGCAACUAGAUAAUAUCACACGUUAGGGUAUUUUACAAGUUGUAUGAAAACUACCUUGGGAGAGAGCUUGACAAGCUUUCAUCGAGUUCAAAUACUAACCAGCCUUUUUAGAUCUGAUCUGGUAUAAAAUUCAUGAAAACCACUUUUUUGAGACAGAGUCUCGCUCUAUUGCCAGGCUGUGGUGCAAUGGUGUGAUCCUGGCUCACUUCAACCUCUGCCUCCCAAGUUCAAGCAAUCUUCCCAUCUCAAGCUCCUGGGUAGCUGAGACUAUGGGUGCACACCACGAGGCCCAGCUAAUUUUUU